AAACCAACCGGGAUUGCCUUAGUAACGGCGAGUGAAGCGGCAAAAGCUCAAAUUUGAAAUCUGGUACCUUCGGUGCCCGAGUUGUAAUUUGGAGAGGGCAACUUUGGGGCCGUUCCUUGUCUAUGUUCCUUGGAACAGGACGUCAUAGAGGGUGAGAAUCCCGUGUGGCGAGGAGUGCGGUUCUUUGUAAAGUGCCUUCGAAGAGUCGAGUUGUUUGGGAAUGCAGCUCUAAGUGGGUGGUAAAUUCCAUCUAAAGCUAAAUAUUGGCGAGAGACCGAUAGCGAACAAGUACAGUGAUGGAAAGAUGAAAAGAACUUAGAAAAGAGAGUGAAAAAGUACGUGAAAUUGUUGAAAGGGAAGGGCAUUUGAUCAGACAUGGUGUUUUGUGCCCUCUGCUCCUUGUGGGUAGGGGAAUCUCGCAUUUCACUGGGCCAGCAUCAGUUUUGGUGGCAGGAUAAAUCCAUAGGAAUGUAGCUUGCCUCGGUAAGUAUUAUAGCCUGUGGGAAUACUGCCAGCUGGGACUGAGGACUGCGACGUAAGUCAAGGAUGCUGGCAUAAUGGUUAUAUGCCGC
rnacentral:rRNA from 1 species